CCUCUCCCUCUCCUCCUCCUCCCCUUGCCUCUCUCUCUCUCUCUCUCCAUCCUCUUAUCUCAUCCCCCUUGUUUUUCUCCUCUCUGCCUGUCCGGCUGAUUUACAUGCAUGCUGCGUUGAAGCAGCUCAGCUGGAUCUAAUGCCUCCUGCCGCGAGGAGCAGAGCCGGCUCCGGCCUCGGUGCGCCACUUCUCCGGGCAGGGGAGGAAGAAGUGGGGCCACCACUUUUGGCCCCUUUCCUCGUUGCCUUUCCCUUUUCAUCCAUUUUCCCUUCCAGCCCAUUUUUCCAUUGCUUCGCUCCUCCUUUCGCUCUCCCUCCUGCCAGGUCCCUGACCCACGUCUCCUCCAGCCUCCUGUGCCCCUGCUGAGCAGCUCCCCAUGAGACAACUGCUUCUUUUGGCUGGGAGAGGAGGCACCAAAAGCCUGCAGCCAGCUGGAGAGCUUGGGGGGGACCGGGGGCAUUAGGCACUGACCUGGGGAUUGCUGCUGAGCGCUCCCAGGUGGGGUCUUGGGGCAGUUUUCCUCCACCCCUGUGUCCAUGCCGAGAGCAGGGAUCGAGGUGCCCACGUUAAUCACUGGCUCUAAUCACUCCCAUUUCCAUUUGGCUGAUUUGCAUUUCCGCAAGAGGAAGAUGCCCUGAUUAAUAUCCCCUCAGAAGAGCUUUAUUGCGAUGGCUCCUGCCUCUCUAAUUGGAAAGUGGUCUUAACCUUUCAUGCAAGUGGCUGGGACGUUCCCUGCCUGCCAGAAGCCCCAGGAAGGGUCUCUCUUGCCCUGAGUUUUAGGGGAGCGGAAGGUUUGGAGGCUCCAAAGCAGGGCAGGAGCCCUCCAUCCAAAGGGGAUGCUCCUGGGGGUCCCAGAGCUGUACCCACCUCCAGCACGGGAAGUUUUCCCAACAGAAGCCGCAAGGGGACAGGGAGCAGGGGGUUGUGCUGGGGUGAUCCAACACCAGCGAGCACCCAGCCACCUCUGAGCAACCAGCUGGGUGCUCCUGAGCUUGCACCCAUGUCCUAAUUAAUGACCCAGGGAGGAUGAGCUCCUGUGAUGACAACGGAGCCGUUCCCCUCUGCCCACGUGUGGCAGGGAGGCAGGAUCGGACCCAGCCGCUGGGAUCCUGCAUCUUUGGCUCCCCAGGGAGUCCCAGGCCCACCACCAAACCCGUGCUGGCAGCUUGAAAGCCUGCCUUGCACUCGGCUGCUUUCUGAUCUUCAAAGGCUCCAGAUGCCCGAGGAAAUCAGCCCUCGUGGCUCCUCUUCCAGUGCAGUCCCCAGCUCCGAGCUCUCGUGCAGUUUGUUAUCCCUGCCGUGUGCUGCUGCCUCCCCAGCCCUGCGUGGCGAAGGGGCACUGCUCUGUGCCUCUUCCUUGGGUGAUCUCUUCCAAAACUGCUGCUGGAGGAGAUGUGUGCGUGUGGGCAUGGCCAACUUUAUCCCCAAAAACCUCCCUGCUGGCUUCCCAGGGCUGUUUUAAGACCCCAACUCAUCUCCCAGGUGCUUCAGCCUCCCCUUCCCUUUCCUUCUCAGGUUAAGGAAGUGAUUUUUUUUUAUUAUUACUUUUUAAUUUUGGCGUUUAAGCUGCUUUAAGGGCCGCAGCAGCGAACGUUCCCGAUAAACAGCCUGGGAGAUCCAGGGAAUAAUCUCUCUGCUUGGUGACGGCAGAGGCGCAUAUCGCAGCUGCUGGCAGCGCGCGGAAAGCUGGCCUCAUCCGCUGCAGUGCUCCAGCAGCCCGGGGAGGGGAAAAAAUUGCCUCCGUCCUUAAUCACAGAAUUUGAAAUCCCAGCUAGUCUGCACCUUUUAUUCCUCGGGUUUAUGGGGUUGGUUUUAGCCUCUGAGAGAAAGGGCGAUAACUCCCACCCCCGUGUAACCCUUUGCAUACAACCAUUUGCAGAGCUGUGGGGUCGAUCUUGGUGGUUUUUUGUUUUUUUGUUUUAGGGUGAUGUGAUUUGCUGAGAGCUCUGCCCCCAGCCCUGCUUGUGCCGUGCAGCCUGCAGGGAGCUUUGUGCAGGGCUUUGCUGUGUGGCUGGAGGGAAAUCAGUGGCUGCUGGGGAGGGGGCAGUGAGCAGCAGCUCGCUCCCCUUCCCCAGGGACUCAUCCGUGACAUCCUCGUGGUGAAGGGGAAGAGGGAUUUUGCGAGCGCUUCAGCAUCGGCUGCAGAAAUGGGGUGUCGAGAGGGAGGAUUGGGGCUGCUGCUGCGAGAGCCGAUCCCGCUGCCGGAGGAGGCGUUUUGGGACACGCACCCUCCCGUCGUCACUGCCUGUCCCUCUCCUGCAGCUAUUUCUGCCUCAACUUUCCACCGAGCUGCUUCCAACGCUUCCCAGUCUAAAACCAUGCUGGUUUAGACAGCCAGUUUCAUCCCCCCCUUCCAUGUCUCGUUUGCAUAUAUUUGCAUAGCACACAGGUUUCUGGGAGGGGAGGAGGAGCUGGAGAGGCACAUCCUUUAUUCCUUUUAUUUUUUUCCCCCUCUCAGCAGAAUUGCAUUUAUUUAUUUAAAUCGGGCGCUGUUGCUAAGAGGGGCUCGCUCCUCGCCUGGUCCCGCGGAUGGGGCUGUAGGGAUGGGUUUGCUCAUUUUUUGGGUCACUCGAAAGGUGUCGAGCAGGUGCACCCAGACCCCAUCCUGGCAUAUUUGCCAUUCCCUCGGCCUCGCUUCCAAAAAAGCUGCCCCUCGAUGGAGGCACUGCUGCAGCAAAUGGUGCCCCCCCUGCCCACAGCCAGUCUGGCACCUUGCUGGGCUGGAGCCCGGUGUAUUUUGGGGGUGGUGAUGGAUGUUCUGGGGGAAAUUGGCUUUCCAGGUCUGUAUUUUUUUUUUUUCCCAGUUUCCCAGCCAAAUUGGAAAUGCAAACUGUGGGCAGGCGGAGCUCCUGCGUUUUGGCAGCUGGUUUUCCCUUCCUAGGGAUGCUCUGGAUGCAGAAUGCCCCCAGGGUCAGAUGCGAGCCGGGUAUAAACUCGUAGGAUUUGCUGCUUGCUGGGGGCAAUCACACGGGUCCCAGCACUCGUCUGCCUUCCCACGGCACCUCUGCCAUCGGGCUCUGCUCCUGGCUAAAAGUUCCUGGCUGGCCCAGGCAGAGGGUGACUGCACCCUCACCCCAGCUCCUGCACUGGGAUGGCUGCAGGGAGGGGAAGGAAAACUCCUCUUUUCACUGGGCUCUGCAGGGUUUCCUUUCCCUGGGGCUUUGCUGGGUUGGAAUUCUCCUGUCUGGUCCCUGUCUGGGUUUGGUUGCCUCCUCGGCUCUCCUGAAGGUCUCCUUCCCGUGGGAUUUGCUGCUCUUCUUGGAAAACAGCAAACCUUUUGGAGUAGGUUUCCCAGAGCCUAGCCAUGGUCCUGCUUGGGCACCUGCAAAGAGCUCUGUCCCCAUCCCUGUGGGCUCGUUCUUGCUUCUCCCAGAGAGAUUAGAAGGCAAGUCCCUUGAUGUCCUUGCUACAAUAUUUUUUUGCUCUAAGAGGAUCAGGGCACCUCCUGGCUGUCCUGCCAGGUGGAAGAGCAAACCAACAGGGCUGUGGGUGCGCAGGGCUCACCUCGCCGGGAUGGAUUUCUCUUUCUCUUGGGGGCAAGACGAGGAGGGAGACCAGUUGUGUGCCGAGAUGGGGAGGAUGGGGAUGGUGAUGGUGGGGAGGGAGCUGCUGGCUAGAACCAAGCAAGGAAGGCAGAGGGCUGGCUGUGGCUGGCAUGGCACGGCUCAGCUUGGCACGGCUGCUGUGUCCCCGUGCGCCACUAGGACAGGGCAGCACCGGGUGGUGGCUCGGCUGUCACCUGGGAAGGCGAGCUCCGUGCUGGCUUUCUGUCUCCGGGUGCUGGACACCACAAACCUGAAGACCUAAACCAGGAUCAAACCCCCCCAGCUCUGUGCCACAGGGACCCCAGCCCCGAGGAGCCGGGGGCUCUGCUGGGAGCGCCCUUUGCUCCCGUGCCCUCUGGCUCGCCAAGCUUCCCCAGCGGCGCGGCGCGGAGGCUGUUUGUCUUCAGCUUGACCGUUCCUCCGCCUCCCCCGCCUGUCUCCUCCGCUUCCUCAUUCUCGGUGUCGGGUUGAGCAAGAGCAGAGCGGAGCCUCCUCGGGAUCAGGCCAACCCAUUCUCCCAUGAAUCUCCAUAGAUUUCAGCCCUCGGCCACUGGGGAUCUCCGUUGCUGGCUAUCUCCGCUGGCUUUAGCUCUCUGCGCUUGGUCAAGGUCAGAUGUGGCUCUUUUUUUUCUGCUCCCACUGGAAACGAGCCCAAAUCCUUUUGCUGUGGAGACGCGGGGCUGGUGGCACAGCGAUCCACCCUCGGUGAGCACCCGCCUGCCACCGCUCCUGCUCUCACCACUUCUGCCUCCUGGGGACGUGCCAGCGAGGAGCAGAGAUCCCUGCAACCCCUAAACUUAUUUCUCCCCCCCAAAAAUAAGGCGGAUGCGAUUCCACGUGUGUUCCUCGGGGCUGUGCAGAGAGGCUCGUGCAUUAUUUACCGAGCUGUGCAGCCGGAGCCAGCCCUGACCCUGCUCUCGCCCGGCUGAGAUCGGCGGCGGAGGGAGCGAACCCCUCCUGGUGGCACGGUGCCGGUGGCUGGAGCUGGGCUCAGGUUUCUUGCUGGAUGGAUCUGGUGGCCCAGCAGCAGUGUCUGGCCCUGCUGCCCCUUGGUGUGGUGCUUGGGGCUGGGCUCAGCCCCUUGUAGCCCCCCCGGAGCUGCACCCACUGCUGUGGUGCUGUGCUGGGGGUGCGCGAGGCGGGCUGACCGUAAAGCCCCAUGCGAGCACUCAGCAGCGGAGCCAAAUUCUUGACUUUUGGCCCUUGGUGGGGGGGUGUGGGGUGGGGAGGAGGAGGGAUGUGUUGUGUUCGAGCCCCGUUUUGCCUCCACCACCCCCUCACCAUGAAAACAGCCCCAGCAAAGCGCUGCACCCGCCUGGCACGCAGCUUGGCCCCCUCUGCUCUCCCCAUCGGGGCCGGAUGGGGCAUGGGGGCUACCCGCAUAACACCCCCCUCUUUUUCCUCCCCCCUUUUGUCCCCCUUAGAUCUCACAUCUCCUAAAAAACCCCCUUCUCCCCGGCUGCUUUUUUUCUCGCUAACCUCCACUCGCUUUGCCUCUCCUCCCCUCCCUCCCUCCUCUCCAUCUCCCUCCCUCCCUCUCUCUGGGGGGAAAAAAGGUCAUUGCGCAAAUGAUUAGUCAGAGCUCAGUUGCUGUAGCAACCGGCUGCUGGAACUGGGACAGGCGUGCAGCGAGGACAACGGAGAGGUCGACCAUCAGCGAGGGCUGGGGAGCCCAGCCUUUGUAUUUCCUUCCCCGAUCCAGCGAGCGAGGCGGUGCGAAGCCCCCUGCCCCACGCCACGCAUGGGGAUGUAUCCGUGCCCGGCCGGGGUGGCAGUCCCUGGGUUGGGACAUCGCCCCCGUGGUGUGGUUGGAGCUGGUGGCUCAGUGCCACCACGGUUUUGGAGCUCUCUGGCUGCUCCUGGCCACGUGUGGCUCUGUCCUUUGGGGCCAUGCCCCUGCUUGGGGCAAUUUCCUGCAGCCACGCGGGGCUCUGGGGCUCUUUGUCCCCUUGUGGCAUCCCGCAUGGGGUGUGUGAAGCUGAGUUCCUCCUGUUCCGGCACGAGGAUCUGGGUGUUGGCUGUGUCCUGCCUAUGUCCAGCUCCAGAGCACUGCUCUCCAUCUGCCUCUGACCCCCUGAGCAGCUUCAAGCAGAGACCUCUCCAAAUCCUCCUCUGCUCCCUGCCCCAAGCUCGAGGAUAUCAGCGGUGGCUGGGGGCUGCUUACCCCUGGAGGGCAGGGUGAGGACCCUGCUGGGGAAGGUCAGGCAGCGUUCAGGGUGGUUUUCACCCUGCUGUGGUCUUCAGGAGGUUUUCUUGCCAGGCUCAGCCUGUCCCAGUCCAGGAGGAGCAGCGGAGCCAGCAGCAUCACUGUGCAGCCUGGCAGGACCCCGUGCAGGGCUGCGAAAUGGGGAGAGCAGAGGGGGUCCCCUAUUGCAGUCCUUGCCCUGGGCAGCGCUGCCUCUGCAGCUCCACAGCUCUGCUAUUUUCCUCUUUAGCCCCCCAAAUCCUGCUGUGCCCCUGUGUCUGCCUGUUCCCAUCGCCAGCUCAGGAGCAGAGCCGGUGUCCCACGUUAGGGUGAGGUGGGAGAGCUGCCUCCAUUUCUGCUGUUUGCCUUGCACACCGUUCAAGGCGUGCAGAAAGCAGGUUCAGCUCGUAGCACACGCUGCCUUUAAGCUGCUCCCUGCUCUUUGUGUGCUGAGCAGGGAUCUGGGGCCACGCUUGGUGAAUGGGGGGUAAACUGGGCUUUGAGACCCCCAAGGGAAAAUGCUCAGGAGGAGCUGGGGGCUGUGGCAGCUCCGAGCUGGUACCAGUGCUGCUGGGGAGGGGAUGAGAAACUUCAGGAGCAUCUCUGGGACAGCUGGGUGGGCUCCGGGUGGCAUUUAAGGGAUGUCUUUGGUGUCCUGCGUAAGGUCAGGCUCUGCCCAUUCAUCUAGGAGGCUGUGGUUUGGCGUCCUCAAGCCUAGGAAAUGAUUUUAGCCCGAGUUUGUGAGAAGUGCAGGAAAAGGCUAUUUAUGCAGAAAAUGGCUUCCAAUAAACAGGCUUCCUCUGGGAGCGGAGAGAAAUUGCUGAGAUGUGCUGGAAGUCUUUUCGCUUUGCUGGGACCCUCCUUGAGUGCCGAGAGAGACUUGGCUGUGCCGUGCUCCCCAGAGCCCUCCUGGCAGCCCACUGGGGUGGCUGCAGAUGGAGAGGGGCUCGGAGGGCGCUGCUCCCACCAUUUGCCUCGUCUCUCAUCUCUUCCUUCGUUCCUUAAAACCUCAUUUUUUGAAGCCGUGUGGCUGCAGAGUGCUGGCAGGGGGUUUGCUGCUUUCAGGGCUCCUUUCCUUGCCGUAGCAGAGAGGAGCGCAGCAGCGUGAUGUAAGAGUGGCCUACAGGCUCAAAAGCCAGUAGGGAAAUAAAAACAAGUCAGCCACUCUCCUUCCUUUUUUUCUUCUCCUUCCUUUUUUUCUCUUGCAAAUCUCAUCAUUUUAAAAGCCGUUCCCUGGUUUUUCCAGGGUCUGGAAAUCUUUGGGAGAUGUGAAUGCUCGGAGCUGACCCCACUGUGUUUGCGCUCUGCUUACCUUGGGUGCUGGGGCCGUGUUUUCCUUUGGAGAUGGUGGGUGCAGCUUCGGUCCAGCUGACUAAUAUUUCAGGUUAUCAGAAAUGACAAAAAUGAAUGAAUGAAUGAAAGGCCUCCAGGAGAGAGGCAAAAAUCCUUGUGACUCACUCCAGUGAUUCGCAUUUGAGCCCGAAACCACAAAAUGGUGCCUGCUCCCUGCUGCCCCUCGCAAUGUGCUGGGAGACCGCCACCACCCAGAGCUGGGUCCUUCUCCCUUGGGAAAUGGGGCCGCCAAGUCCCCAGCCCAUCACUGCUCCUUUUUGCUACCUCUCCCCUCUCUCAGCGCCCUCCUUACUCCUGUAGGACCUCCAGGGUAUAGGUAGAGGGGCGGCUGUGCUGGUGCUUGAAGGCUGCAACCCCUGGAGGGAGCAUCCGUGAGCUGCAAGAGGCAGGGAGGAGGUUUGGGAAUAUUUUUUCUCCUGUGGGUGAUAUCUGAGAGACCUGAAGCAAGCAGUGCUUGUCUUUGAUGGUUUAGGGAGCACAUUUGUGGCCGUGUGAUAGCUCACGGCUUGGAAAGGGCAGAGGGGGGGAAGACUGGGGCCACCCUAGUCCAUCCCACAGCAGUAGGUGGAGGUGUGUGCUGUCCGAGGAGGUAGGGAAGGCCUAAAAGUAUUUAAAAACAAGUGCUUGAGGUCUGUCUUACACCACUGCUGUGCUGUGCUUUGCUGGGAACCAUCUGCAGGGCAGGAUGGGGCCGGCUGCGAGGCCAAUCUGCGGCGCACACCCAGUGGCAGGAUGGAUCUGGGCUGGAGGAGAUGGGCAAGGAGCACGGGGGAUGAAGGAGUGGACCCUUUCCCUUCAUUCUCCUGUCUUACUGCGCUUCUGCUCCUCCCAAGAAAUGUACUUGCGAGCGUUUGUCAGUGAUUGCCAUCGAAACCGGAGAAAAUCUAUAAGCUGGGGUCAGGCUCCUCUUCCAGGCUGUCGUGUCAGGAGAAUCCCUGUGCCUCCUCCCUAAAACCGCAGGGAGCAGCCCCCGUGCUCAGCUCUGCGGCUCACUGACACGGGCAUGGUGCUCGGGAGGUCUCCAGCAGAUGUUGGCUGGCGGUGGCGAGGAGCCGGAGCGGUGCCUGGGGACACCACGGGCUCGGGGAGGUGCCUGAGUGAUGCCCAGCAGAUGAGCCUGCCGUGGGCUUGGGGUGAUGGGGUUUGGAGGAAGACCCUCGAGGGAAACCCACCGCAGAGCUAACGCGUGCUGUCCUUUUGGUUCGUGCUUUUGUUGAGGGUCCUGGCUUGGUGCCCGUGGGCUGUGUGGGCAGGGAGUGCCCGAGGCCAGCGGGGAAUUGUUCCCAGCCCAGCAGCUCCUUGUUGGAGAGGACGUUUCACCCAAAUGGGAUGUGGGCUCGCUACCGAGCGGUGAUCAGGCAGCACGGGGAGGAGCCCAGCUGCUUGUCUUGGCAUUUAGCUCACUGUGGGGUUGGGGGGAGCACGAGGAAGCCGCUCAGGGGCUUUGCUCGGGGUUUGGCACAUUGCUGCUGGUGCCAGUGGGGUGGGUGCUCGAGCGCCUGGCUCAUGGUGCUUGGCUGAGACCUGCAAAUCAGCACCUCUGUAGGGUUGGAGGGUUCCUGGGUUGGUAAUCUCUUAAAAGAUCUCUUAAAAGUUGAAUAUUCAUCAGUGCCUGGUGGCUUAUUUCUUGUGUGCAUGUGAGAAACCACCCAGCCAGCAGCUGAGGGAGUGCCUGAUGGUGCUGGGUGCUGGCACAGGGAGCCAGGCUGCCUUUCUGCUCCUUACCCACCCCGUCUCUUCCACCUGGCCUGAGAUGAGCCCCCAAAAGGACCAGGCUGGCUGACCUUUGGUGAUGUGCACCCCGAUGGUGAGGGUCAGCCCCGCUUCACCCUGUGAGGGCGGUGAGGAACGGCACGUCCCCGUGCACCCGAGCCCCGAAACGGCACGCGGGGAAUGACGCAGCGAAGGUGAAAUAUCAAAGGGAGAAGGGGAAGUGCGUGGCAGGAGCAGGGGAAGCAGAGGAGAGAAUAGCCGGAGCUGACCUCAGCGGGGCGGGAGCGGGGUGGGGAGCCCGGCUGCAUGCAUGGAAGGGAAAUGGGGAGAGGAUACAGCUGGGACCGGCCAGCACCGAAACCGUCCGCGCCCUGUGCACCGGCACGCGCUGGCCCUCGCUGUUGGAUUUGCCUCUUCCCACUUUCCUAAGGGCACACGUUGUGGAUGGAGCAUCCCAGCGUGGUCCAGGGAAGCUGUUUGGAUCCUUUCUAUACCCCUCCUGUGCCUCGCAGUGCGCAGGGAUUGCAGCAAAAGCAUCCAGCCUGGUGCCACCCGAGCGCGGUGCUCGCAUGUGGCUGCGUCCCCGUGCCAUGGGUGGAGGAUCCAGCCCUCAUCUCGUGCUCAGCCUCACUGCAAACCCCACUGUUGACAGCCACGGUGCAUCCAGACCCAGUUCUCUGUGCCCUGGUGGUGAUAAAGGCAGCACAGGACGGGUUUUGGCCAUCGAGCCUUCCCCAGCAGUGUCACGGCAACUGGGGCCACGUGUUGGGAAGUGGCACAAGCUGUCCCAGGGUCACUGCUGUCCCUGCAAGUGCUCCCGGCUCUGCCCAAGGAUGGCUGACUUUUUUUUUUUUUUUUGCAUGUGGAGUUUUAUUUUUAGCUGGAAAAAAAAAAAAGCCCCAACAACCAGCCCUUAAAAACAAACGCACGCAAAGUUUUCGUGAAAAGAAAAAAAACAUAAAAAUCUCAACAUAAUGGAAUUUUUUCCCUUCUUCGCAAAACUGCCUGUGACAUUUCUAAAUGAAGGGUUCCUCCCGUCCUUCUGCUUUUCCCCCUCAAUCUUCAGUGAAAUUUCUUCCUUCCCUAAGUCGCCCUCUUUUCCUCCCUGAGAUAAGCUCCCUCAGGAGGAGCAGCAGCGAGCACAGGGAAUGUUUUUUCUGCAAUGUUGCUUUUUGAAAAAAGGAUAACAAGUAUACCAGAAAAAAAAAAAAAGGCAAAUAUCUUUUUUGAACCUAUUAAAUUAGAGUGGGAUUAAUAAGUUUUAUUGUUUUCCCUCCCCUUUUUCAAGCAAGUUCUUAUCUGCUCUAAGCUUUUGGUGUGGAAGGGCUGGGACAGCGAGGCAAGGAGCAGCUCUUUGCUUUGCUCUUUCUUUGCACGAGGGGAGAGGAUUUUCCCCCCGGUUGUCUUCCUUUGGUGCUCGAGAGUUGCCCUGGGAGCUCGUGACGCUGUUAGCCACCAAAAACUCACCACCUGGAGGGAUUCACACCCCAACCAUCUCCUCUCUUGCUCAGAAAUCAGGGGGGUCGGGGUGGAUGUGAGGAUUUGGGAGCGGCACGGCAGAGCCCCCGUGUUCUGGGGUCCCUUCCCUGGCUCUCCAUCCCACUUUCUGGUGACCUCAUGAAGUCCGCUUUGUCCCUCUUUGCCUUGGUUCCCCCAUGUGGGGAAGAGGAGGGCUCUGUCUUUGCACCCAUGGGUUUAUUUAACACCCUGUCAUCCUGCUGAGUCGUUGCAGGAGUUUGCUCAACCACGACCCACUCGGAUGGAGCAAGGGGCAGGAGUUUUCCUCCUGGUUUAGGAACCUCCGGGUGCUUUUCAGGAGCAGCUCCUGCUUUACAGGACUGGAAAGCACCAGAGAUGGACCAGAGAUGGAGAUGUUUUGUCCUGAGCCAGCCAAGCUCCAUGUUCCCUGGUGCCCAGAAGAAGCAAGCCAUGUGCCAGAAGCUCGGUGUGCCUGGCUCUGCCCAGGAGCAGCAAUUUUCUGUAGGUUUAGGGCUACGCAACCACAUCUCCUGCCCAGGGUCGUGGUGCCAAGGCUGAGCUCUUGGUGUGACGGCUGUGCCCUGGGCCACUUGCUCCUUCUGGCCCCGGAGGCUUUGCAAAAUUCUUGGUGCCAAGAGAAGAAAACACCCGAGGCUGUGCCACCCCAAAGCAAAUCAUCCCCUGAGGUCCUGCCCGAGGGGACGGCGCGGCUGCGCCCCACGUACCCCAUCCCUCGCUCAGAGGGGACAUUUUGGGAAGGGGCUGGUGCUCCUGCCUGCAUCUUCGCAUCCCUGCAACCCUCCCUGCCAAACUGCAGGGGAAACAACCUCCCCGUGUGCCAGCACUGCCUGCCUGCAGCCCCCGUGGAGCCUUACAGCCCCCGGCCGUGCAGAGCCGGAGCGGGGAAGGGGAGCAAAGCAACCACGCUCUGUCCAGGCUAUUUAUUUUGUGCUGGGGUAAGGGAUUUUUUAUAUAUAUAUAUAUAUAUAUAUUUUUUUUGCUUCAGACAUGCGAUGAGUGUGUUACUCAGCCAUGACUCGAAAACUUGUGAGCAAUAAAGUCAUCCUGAAGUCUGCCAAAAAAAAAUCUUCGCAGCACACCCACCUCCUCACACGUUCCCACUGUAGCUCCUUCAGUGUGAUCUUGCUGCCGAAACGCGGCUACCUCCAGGGGGGCUGCGGUGGCCAUCUGGGAGCUUGCGGCAAUAGCCCAUGGGCACAGCACCCUGGGGUGGCACCUGCCUGGGGACUGGGGCCACCACAAAAAUAGCGGGCUGGGGCUUGCUCCAAAAUCCAGGAGAAAACAGGGCUGGAAGGGCGUGGAGAGGCUUGUGUACCUCGGUGUAGUCCUUCCCCUAAAGAAUGGGUUGGGUCCCACGUUGUUGGGUUUGACCUUUUGGGGUCCAGACCAACCCCAAAUCCCACAUGGGGUGGAGAGACUAUGGCCCUUGCACCUCCUGAAAGGACCUGAAGGGAAGGGACCUUCAGGAGCAGCUCCUUGGGUUCUUGGGUCCCGUACGUGGCCCCAUGGGGACUGGCUGCAUGUGGGGCUUCCCUGGGGCUCCAGGAGCCCUACACCAGCCCACACCAGCCACCAUUUGGGGUGGCCAUCGGUGGUGGCCCCGGGAAGAGGUGCCAUGGAGACGUGUAGGAUCUGCUGCUAAACCAGCCAAGUGGGGUUGGCGUUGUGCAUCAAAACCCAAAUUCCCAUUACCGGGGACUGCACCAGGAGGCAGGGGGGAGCCGGAGCCAUCACCCCUCGGGGUAAAGGGUCUGAUGGCUCUGGGACUGGGGUGCUGUUGGGGUGGGAUAACGGGGCUGUCAAGCUCUGGGGUGGGCCAGAAGGGAGAAGGUUGGAGCCAGAGGCACCCUGUAACCUCCCCGCGGGCGGGCAGCGGGUUGGGGGCAGCACCCCCCCACCUCGCCCGAAUUACCGGGGUAAAAACCUCCUCCGCCAAGGCCUCCUCUCCCCACCCUUUCCCCGCGCCGGGGCCCUAAAUAAUUGAUAGGCUGCUAAAUAAUAGAUCUGGUAUUUGCUCCUUCGCCGUUCUCCGGCGGGGCGUGCGCGCUCGCAGCCUGGCGCUGCUGCAUUAGGGUUACAGCGGGUGCGUGUGUGUCGGCCGGGGUAGGGAGCUGUGCAGGGAGAGGGGAGAGCAUUCCGGGGAGAUAAAGGGCUGGUUUGAUGUGUGUUCAUGUGGCGGGGCUGUUUUGCCUUGCAUGCCUUUCUCUUUUGCUUUAUUUUUUUUUUUUUUUUCCUGGAGUGAAGCCUGGCGCCAGCAGUCUGGAACCAGCCUGACAAGCUUUUGAGUUAUGGAAAGGGGGGAGGCGGCGGAGAGGGGGGAGGAGGAGAGAGAAAAGAGGGAGCGAGAGAGGC